rnacentral:rRNA from 1 species
UACGGGGGGAGCAAGCGUUGUUCGGAUUUACUGGGCGUAAAGGGCGCGUAGGCGGCCACCGCAAGUCGACUGUGAAAUCUCCGGGCUUAACCCGGAAAGGUCAGCCGAUACUGCGGGGCUAGAGUGCAGAAGGGGCAACUGGAAUUCUCGGUGUAGCGGUGGAAUGCGUAGAUAUCGAGAGGAACACCUGCGGCGAAGGCGGCGAUCUGGGUUGAUACUGACGCUGAGGUGCGAAAGCGUGGGGAGCAAACAGG